rnacentral:lncRNA from 1 species
GUGGUUGGUUGCGGAGGUUUGAAGAUUGGAUGCUUGAGGUGGCUGCGGCUCAAGAUCUGGAGGAGAUGUUAUCUGACGUCGAAGCUUCUGUUGGCGACUUGAUUAGUGCGAAGGAGUUUGAGGAGAUGUGUGCGAUCACUUUUGAGUUUGGUGAGUCGACUGUCAGGACGGAGGAUAUUGCCGAUAUGGUUGAAGCUAGGUUUUUCAAGGAUGGCCG